rnacentral:rRNA from 1 species
UACGUAGGGUGCGAGCGUUAAUCGGAAUUACUGGGCGUAAAGCGUGCGCAGGCGGUUCGACAAGUCCGAUGUGAAAGCCCCGGGCUCAACCUGGGAAUGGCAUUGGAAACUGGCGAGCUUGAGUUCGGGAGAGGGAAGCGGAAUCCGGGUGUAGCGGUGAAAUGCGCAGAUAUCGGGAGGAACACCGGUGGCGAAGGCGGAUCUCUGGGCCUUGCCUGACGCUGAGGCGCGAAAGCUAGGGGAGCGAACGAGG